CCCUUAGAUGUUCUGGGCCGCACGCGUGCUACACUGAGUGGAUCAGCGGGUCAGGUUGCGCGAAAGCGUUUCCUAAUCUUUAAAUCCGCUCGUGAUGGGGAUUGACGGUUGCAAUUUUCUGUCAUGAACGAGGAAUACCUUGUAAGCGCGGGUCAUCAUCCCGCGCUGAAUACGUCCCUGCCCUUUGUACACACCGCCCGUCGCUCCUACCGAUUGAGUGGUCCGGUGAGGCUUUGGGAUCUGAGCGGAAAGAGCGUUUCGCUGUUUCUGCUCGAAAAACUCAGUCGAACCUUAUCAUUUAGAGGAAGGAGAAGUCGUAACA
rnacentral:rRNA from 1 species